CGCCUCCCCGAGCCCGGGAUCAGCGACCCAGGAGCCCGCGCCCCGCGGCCUCGCCGCCACACUUUCCUGGGAGCGCCGAGGCGGCACCAUGAAGAAGUCGUACUCAGGAGUCACACGGACCGCUAGUGGCCGUCUCCGGAGGCUUGGCGACCCAACGGGCCCAGAUUGAAGAAAUUAGACCAGACAAAGAGUGUUUUGGGAAGAGGAGGAGGCAGAGAGAAGGAGGGCGCCGGGGGUGAGAAAGGAGGACGCCUCUGAACAGGGGAAGCCUGGACGCCCGCCCGCCUGCCUGCUGCUAAAUAUAGCCGUCGGAAUGGAGAGGGAC
rnacentral:lncRNA from 1 species